rnacentral:lncRNA from 1 species
AGUAUCCUUGUAUCCUUUAGGCCGGAAGCGACCUCCAUUCUUUCAUGGUCGGGCUUCCUACUUUCUUUCCCUCUCAUUUUAAAGAAAUUUGAUAGAAGGGAACAGAACUUCCCUCACUUACUUGCCUGGGCGCGGGGCACUGUACUAGAUGCCUUCCCAACCUUAUCACAUUUACUCCCCUCAAACAACCGGUGGCUGGACAUCAUACCCCUUGCGAGAAAGCGGCAAGUCAGAGACCUAAGUAUCCUGCCUGAGGUCAGCCCGCUCCCAAAGCUUUGCCUCUUUCCAUCACUUUCUCAGGCAUGCUUUUCCACCCCUGAGAUCCUCCUAGGAGAGUUCUGUUUAGCUCUCAGAACAGAUCCUGGAACCAGGUGUGGCGACGUGCUGAAGAAGAGAGCCAAAUAUCUUACCGAAGCUGAGCCAUCCUGGAACGGAAAUGAAUAAGGCAACUUUAAAGGAAAAAGUCCCAAACUGCUAUUAGCUUUUCAGACUUUUGAAUGGAGGGAGGAAUGGAGCGGAGAGGGCUAACUGGUAGGAAAAUGAAUGACUUACAAGUGAUAUGCUACUUUAGUCAGCAGGUAGGAAUGAUAAUUAGGUCACUCUUCCCACACAAAGAUGACACAAUUGACCUGCGAUUAGUGAAGCAAGGAGUUUGGGCUGUUUUUCCGGUAGUGUGAUAGUGGCCCGGGUGUCAUGGAUAAGACCUCACCUACUUUUCUUUGUGUGUAAGGAGUGUGGGAAAUGGCAGCCAGAUUUGAGGUACAAAUCACAGCUCUAUCAUAUGCCAUGCCCGCUAUGAUGUAAGCCUGACCAUUUCAUCACAGUGGAGACGGAGAACUUAGGGUCAGAAUCAUUUUCAUCUAAAGUUCAUUCCUUGUAGAAUAUAUAAGAAUCAUAUUUGAGUUUAGCAUGAAAACUUUUGGACAAAAAUGUGAGUUUUGUUUAAUAGGAGUUGUUUAAUGGGUACAAAGGUUUGGUUUGGGCUGAUGGAAAAAGUUCUGGAAAUGGACAGUGGCGAGAGUCACAAAACAAAGCAAAUUUGCUUAAUGCCACUAUAGACUUAAAAAUGAGUCUUUUUUUUAACCCCUGCCUCAUUUUCCUCCUUGCUACCCAACCUGACCAGGCAACCACUGAUACAUAUUCUGUCUCUCCAUAACAGUUUGUUUCCUAGAAUUUUAUAUAAAUGGAACCACACAAUGUGUCCAUUUUAAAUGGCUUCUUUCACUCGGCAAAUUAUUUUGAGGUUCCUUAACAUUGUAACAUACAUAAUAGUUCAUUCCUUUUUAUGACUGAGUAGUAUUCCAUUACAAAGAUAUAUUUAUAUACAUAUAUCACAGUAUUGAUACACAUUUCCUUGUGGAUGAACAUCUGUGCUGUUUCCAGUUUUCCAUUGCAAAUAAAGUGGUAUGAACAUUCAUGGCCAAGUCUUUUGAUGGACAUAUGCUUUCACUUUUCUUGGAUAAAUACCUGUGAGUGGAAUGGCCGGAUCACAUGAAAGAUAUAAGUUUUUUUAGGAAAUUGCCAGGGUUCCCGUUGUGGAUCAGCAGUAAUGAACCCAACUGGUAUCCAUGAGGAUGCAGGUUCGAUCCCUGGCGCUGUUCAGUGGGUUGAGGAUCUGGCAUUACUGUGGCUGUGGCCAGCACCUGCAGCUCCAUUUCAACCUCUAGCCUGAGAACCUCCGUAUGCCUCAGGUGCGGCCCUUAAAAAAAAAAAAAAAAAAAAUUGUCAACUUUUCCCAAAGUCAUUGCACCAUUUUACAUUCCACCAGCAGUGUAUAAGAGUUCCAGCUUUUCUACAUGCUCAGCCACACUUGGUAGGGUCAGUCUUUUUAGGUUUAGCCAUUCUAAUAGCUAAGGUGAGGUGGUAUUUCACUGGUUUAAAUUUUUGUUUCCAAAAUAGGUAAUGAUGUUGGGCAUCUUUUCCUGUGCGUAUUUUGUCAUGAGUUUAUCUCUUCAUGGAGUAUUUGUUCCAUCUUUUGCCCAUCUUUUGUGAUUUCUUAUCAUAUGGUAUGCAUCAUUAACUGAUCGUUGCCAGGACAGAUUUAGAAAAACCUGAUCCAAGUCUAACAAUAGAAUGUGUCAGCAAAUGCUGGAAUUGAAGUCAAAUUUCCCAUUACAAAAUCACUACCAGGGUGUGUCCCAGCCAUCUCAAGUAUUUUAACUGGAGCUGCCUUUAAUAUGCAGAACACUUUGAACGAAAUAAAUGCUCUUAAAAAGUCAGUGCUACCUUUCCAAAUUUCUAGUCAUUAAAAGCCCUUGAUGGGGAACUGGAAGAAAAUAUUCUUUCACAAAUAUAAAUCUGCGGAUCAUACUGUCAUGUGUCUUCCCACCAGGACAACAGUAAAAAUGUUUUGGAGGAUAAUAUGUCCCCUAAAUACACAACGAUGGAGGGAGUCCCUGUUGGGCUCAGUGGUUAACAAAUCUGACUAGGAACCAUGAGGUUUCGGGUUCGCUCCCUGGCCUUGCUCAGUGGGUUAAUGAUCCGGCGUUGCUGUGAGCUGCGGUGUGAGCUGUGGUGUAAGUCAAAGACAUGGCUCGGAUCCCGUAUUGCUGUGGCUCUGGCGUAGGCCAGCAGCUACAGCUCUGAUUGGACCCCUAGCCUGGGAACCUCCAUAUGCCGUGGGAGCCCUAGAAAAAGGCAAAAAAAAAAAAAAAAAAAAUAAAAAAUACACAAAGAUGUAGAAUUUCAAAGAAAUUGUAAGGCAUCAGUCAGUUCUAUUAGAAGAUGCAGGGGAGUCAAAGCGACUUUUAAGCACUUAUGUGUUAUGCAAUAUUACAGGUACAUUACAGGCAGCAAGAUCAAUAACCUAUCACCUAAAUAGGGAUACGUGUAGGGGGAAAAGGGGUGCUGCUAAUAUUCUUGGUCUCGGGCAGUCCUGAUAAGGCUUCUUGGCAGGGUUCCUUCUCACUCUCAAAAGCGUCCCAGUUUUAGAUGAUGAAUUAAAUGGUCACUUCCUUUAUAGGCAUCACUCACGACAACCCUGAAAUGGUAAAUAUUACCUAUUCCCACUUUAAAUCAGAAAGUAAGACCCAGUAAGAAAGGAUACGUAGCCAUCGCCAAAGUCACAUGGUUGAGAGCAAAAUGAGGAUUUGAAACCACACUCGCUUUAGGAUGAUUUCUCAAAAACCAGCAUCAUAGGCCCCUCAAGAAUCUGAAGUCAAAAGUUCCCGUUGUGGCUCAGCAGUAACAUACCCGACUAGUUCCAUGAGCAUGCUGGUUCGAUCCCUGGCCUUGUUCAGUGGGUUAAAGGAUCCAGCCGUGAGCUGUGGUGUAGGUCACAGACGCAGCUCGGAUCCUGUGUUGCUGUGGCUGUGGUGUAGGCUGGCAGCUGCAGCUCCGAUUCGAUCCCUACCUAGCCUGGGAACUUCCAU